rnacentral:misc_RNA from 1 species
CCUACGGGAGGCUGCAGUAAGGAAUAUUGGUCAAUGGACGCAAGUCUGAACCAGCCAUGCCGCGUGGAGGAUUAAGGCCCUCUGGGUUGUAAACUCCUUUUAUCUGGGAAGAAAUCCGGGAAUUCUUUUCCGGUUGACGGUACCAGAGGAAUAAGCACCGGCUAACUCCGUGCCAGCAGCCGCGGUAAUACGGAGGGUGCAAGCGUUAUCCGGAUUCACUGGGUUUAAAGGGUGCGUAGGCGGGCAGGUAAGUCCGUGGUGAAAUCUCUGAGCUUAACUCAGAAACUGCCAUGGAUACUAUUUGUCUUGAAUAUUGUGGAGGUGAGCGGAAUAUGUCAUGUAGCGGUGAAAUGCUUAGAUAUGACAUAGAACACCAAUUGCGAAGGCAGCUCACUACACAAUUAUUGACGCUGAGGCACGAAAGCGUGGGGAUCAAACAGGAUUAGAUACCCGGGUAGUC